CCUGGAUGGAAGCUCGGUGAAGUUCCAAUGCCUGUUGAAGAGACAAGACUGCUCAUGCAGAUCGUGGGACACGGAUGAGAAAUUGUGUUAUAAAGCAUAGUACGAGGCCCUCAAAAGUGCGGAAGGCAUGGACAGCCGUUCCUCUGCAAGAUGAUGCUAUGUGCGCUGGGUGAAGCAACGAGUACAGUGGACAUAAUUCUACACGCACUAUCAUCAGCACAUACUUUUAUGUUUGCAGUUUAUGCAGAGUAUGUGAAGCCUGCUGUGUACGAC